rnacentral:rRNA from 1 species
AUUGAACGCUGGCGGCAUGCCUUACACAUGCAAGUCGAACGGUAACAGGUCUUCGGAUGCUGACGAGUGGCGAACGGGUGAGUAAUACAUCGGAACGUGCCUAGUAGUGGGGGAUAACUACUCGAAAGAGUGGCUAAUACCGCAUGAGAUCUACGGAAGAAAGAAGGGGAUCGCAAGAACUUGUGCUAAUAGAACGGCCGAUGGCAGAUUAGGUAGUUGGUGGGAUAAAAGCUUACCAAGCCGACGAUCUGUAGCUGGUCUGAGAGGACGAUCAGCCACACUGGGACUGAGACACGGCCCAGACUCCUACGGGAGGCAGCAGUGGGGAAUUUUGGACAAUGGGCGCAAGCCUGAUCCAGCAAUGCCGCGUGCAGGAUGAAGGCCUUCGGGUUGUAAACUGCUUUUGUACGGAACGAAAAGCCCUGGGUUAAUACCCUGGGGUCAUGACGGUACCGUAAGAAUAAGCACCGGCUAACUACGUGCCAGCCGCCGCGGUAAGAC